AACUCCGAGGUGUGUGACAUGUCAGACUGCAAAUCUGAAGUCGGCUUUCUGCCCGGGGUUU
rnacentral:tRNA from 1 species